rnacentral:rRNA from 1 species
CUACGGGUGGCACCAGUGGGGAAUAUUGCACAAUGGAGGAAACUCUGAUGCAGCAACGCCGCGUGGAGGAUGACACUUUUCGGAGCGUAAACUCCUUUUAUAUAGGAAGAAGAUGACGGUACUAUAUGAAUAAGCGCCGGCUAACUCCGUGCCAGCAGCCGCGGUAAUACGGAGGGCGCAAGCGUUACUCGGAAUCACUGGGCGUAAAGAGCGUGUAGGCGGAUUAAAAAGUCAGAAGUGAAAUCCUAUAGCUUAACUAUAGAACUGCUUCUGAAACUCUUAAUCUAGAAUAUGGGAGAGGUAGAUGGAAUUUCUGGUGUAGGGGUAAAAUCCGUAGAGAUCAGAAGGAAUACCGAUUGCGAAGGCGAUCUACUAGAACAUUAUUGACGCUGAGGUGCGAAAGCGUGGGGAGCAAACAGGAUUAGAUACCCGAGUAGUC